rnacentral:tRNA from 1 species
GUGGGUGUAGCUCAGUAGGUUAGAGCGCCAGGUUGUGGCCCUGGAGGUCGCCGGUUCGAUUCCGGUCACUCACCCCA